GACGAACGCUGGCGGCGUGCUUAACACAUGCAAGUCGAACGGAAAGGCCCUGCUUUUGUGGGGUGCUCGAGUGGCGAACGGGUGAGUAACACGUGAGUAACCUGCCCUUGACUUUGGGAUAACUUCAGGAAACUGGGGCUACUACCGGAUAGGAGCUCCUGCUGCAUGGUGGGCGUUGGAACGUUUCGGCGGUUGGGGUUGGACUCGCGGCUUAUCAGCUUGUUGGUGGGGUAGUGGCUUACCAAGGCUUUGACGGGUAGCCGGCCUGAGAGGGUGACCGGCCACAUUGGGACUGAGAUACGGCCCAGACGCCUACGGGAGGCAGCAGUGGGGAGUAUUGCACAAUGGGCGGGAGCGUGAUGCAGCAACGCCGCGUGCGGGAUGACGGCCUUCGGGUUGUAAACCGCAUUCGCCUGUGACGAAGCGGGAGUGACGGUAAUGGGUGAAGAAGCACCGGCUAACUACGUG
rnacentral:rRNA from 1 species